rnacentral:rRNA from 1 species
CCUACGGGUGGCAGCAGUGGGGAAUAUUGCGCAAUGGGCGAAAGCCUGACGCAGCGACGCCGCGUGAGGGAUGAAGGUCUUCGGAUCGUAAACCUCUGUCAGCAGGGCAGAACGGUCACUGUGCUAAUCAGCAGUUAAUUGACGGUACCUGCAAAGGCAGCACCGGCUAACUCCGUGCCAGCAGCCUCGGUAAUACGGGGGGUGCGAGCGUUAAUCGGAAUUACUUGGCGUAAAGCUCUCGUAGGCGGUAUGUCCAGUCAAGGGGGAAAUCCCCGCGCUCAACGUGGGAACUGCCUUUGAAACUGGCAAACUGGAGUGUGUGAGAGGAUAGUGGAAUUCCAGGUGUAGGAGUGAAAUCCGGAGAUAUCUGGAGGAACAUCAGUGGAGAAGGCGACUAUCUGGCACAUAACUGACGCUGAGGAGCGAAAGCGUGGGUAGCAAACAGGAUUAGAUACCCCUGUAGUC